rnacentral:rRNA from 1 species
AAAAUAGCUGCGAGGUGUGUCGGGGAAUGAGUAGAGUGACUGGGUUAAGCGUAAGUAGUGGGCGUAAAGUGUGAGCAGGCGGUGCGUGAAGAGAGAUGUUAAAGCCCCGGGCUUAACCUGGGAACUGCGUUUCGAACUGGCGAGCUUGAGUGUUGCAUAGGGUGGUUGAAUUCCACGUGUAGCAGUGAAAGGCGUAGAGAUGUGGAGGAACACCGAUGGCGAAGGCAGCCCCCUGGGCUAACACUGACGCUCAUGCACGAAAGCGUGGGGAGCAAACAGGAUUAGAUACCCUGGUAGUC